rnacentral:misc_RNA from 1 species
UUGUGGAGGAGGACGCCGAAGGUGGGGCUAAUGACUGGGGUGAAGUCGUAACAAGGUAGCCCUACCGGAAGGUGCGGCUGGAUCACCUCCUAACAGGGAGACAACAAAAUGUUUAAUAUUAUUAUCUUGUCACCUUAGGUCGAUCGGUAUCUCACGUUCUUAAUUUAUUAAGAAUUUCAUUUCCUAAGUUUUUCUAGGUCACACCCAUUAUUUUUCCUGGGCCAUUAGCUCAGGUGGUUAGAGCGCACCCCUGAUAAGGGUGAGGUCCCUGGUUCAAGUCCAGGAUGGCCCAUAUCUCUAUGUUGGGGGUAUAGCUCAGUUGGUAGAGCGCCUGCUUUGCAAGCAGGAUGUCAGCGGUUCGAGUCCGCUUACCUCCACUGAUUACCACCUCUUUCAUACCCGGUAGAAAGGAAAUGUUUUGAGUUGUGAUCAAAUUCUGAAAGAAUCUAGCCUCCUAAUGAAAUCAUUAAGAUGCUGGACUCAUUGAAUUAAUUUCAUUGUUUUCAGAGAACCUUGACAACUGCAUAGAUUAUUUUUAAAGACAAUAAGCAUCUUUAAUGAUGCAGAUUUAUUAUUUGUGCGAAUGCAUUAAUAACAAUUCUAUUAAGCUGAUGCUUCAAUUUUGAAGUUAUUGGUCAAGCUACAA